rnacentral:lncRNA from 1 species
GUUCAAAGUCCUUUGCCAAAUAGUACACCGGGAGCGCAGCCAGAAACCUGAAGCCACAACCAGAUUAUGCCGGCUCCUUCCGGCAUAUUCUGCAAUCAACACUAUUGCUUACCUCCUUUUUAGAGUCACAACUGUUUCUUUGAGAACAACAACAGAAAGGCUGCAUCCAGAUGGCCACUGGAAGGGGCAAGAUCCAGGACAGAAGAUGGGGGAAUCCAACAAGGAGGUGGCAG